UGGGGAAUAUUGCACAAUGGGCGCAAGCCUGAUGCAGCCAUGCCGCGUGUAUGAAGAAGGCCUUCGGGUUGUAAAGUACUUUCAGCGGGGAGGAAGGGAGUAAAGUUAAUACCUUUGCUCAUUGACGUUACCCGCAGAAGAAGCACCGGCUAACUCCGUGCCAGCAGCCGCGGUAAUACGGAGGGUGCAAGCGUUAAUCGGAAUUACUGGGCGUAAAGCGCACGCAGGCGGUUUGUUAAGUCAGAUGUGAAAUCCCGGGCUCAACCUGGGAACUGCAUCUGAUACUGGCAAGCUUGAGUCUCGUAGAGGGGGGUAGAAUUCCAGGUGUAGCGGUGAAAUGCGUAGAGAUCUGGAGGAAUACCGGUGGCGAAGGCGCCCCCCUGGACGAAGACUGACGCUCAGGUGCGAAAGCGUGGGGCAGCAAACAGGAUUAGAUACCCUGGUAGUCCACGCCGUAAACGAUGUCGACUUGGA
rnacentral:rRNA from 1 species